AUUGAACGCUGGCGGCAGGCCUAACACAUGCAAGUCGAACGAGUGGCGGACGGGUGAGUAAUGUAUGGGAAACUGCCUGAUGGAGGGGGAUAACUACUGGAAACGGUAGCUAAUACCGCAUACCAUCAGAUGUGCCCAGAUGGGAUUAGCUAGUUGGUGGGGUAACGGCUCACCAAGGAGACGAUCCCUCGCUGGUAUGAGAGGAUGACCAGCCACACUGGAACUGAGACACGGGCCAGACGCCUACGGGAGGCAGCAGUGGGGAAUAUUGGACAAGGGGCGAAAGCCUGAUCCAGCCAUGCCGCGUGUGUUAAGAAGGUCUUCGGAUUGUAAAGCACUUUAAGUUGGUAGGCGUUACCAACAGAAUAAGCACCGGCUAACUUCGUGCCAGCAGCCGCGGUAAGAC
rnacentral:rRNA from 1 species